AUGUUGCAAAGAGGCGCGCGAGCCUGGGCUGCGCGCGCGCCUCCUCGAGAUGGAGUGAGGGCUUUGGAGACUUUUUGGAGAGGCUUCCUCCCAAGUAAACACGCUCAGCAGCCAGUUGGAAACUUCCAACCCUAGGGAUACUCAAGCCUCCCUUGUUUUUAGCUUCCAAUUUCCCCCCUUAAAUCUCCCCAGCGCCAAAUAGCUUUUGCUCUUUACUUCCCCUCCUUCAUUCCGUAUUUCCAGAUUAUUUGGAGCGCCAGUCAGCCUUGAUUCCAAUCCCAUUGGCUCAUCUGCAAGUUAGAAGGAGGUGCUGGAAACGUCAAAAAGUCGUCAUCCUUGUACCUUGAUCAGAAGUUGAAUGGACCGCUUUUGCCUGAUCUGAUGGCUCACUAUUAAGUUCUUUGGCUUUCCUCUCCUCCUGUAACGAAGCACAUCUGCAUUUUUCUUCCUCCUGUAUUGAGCAGCAGCAAAUCAACUCCUAAAUUGAAGCACUCAAAAUCUUUAUUUUGAAAAGCCUGAAUGGUGUCCAUCAAAGCAGGAACCCUGAAGAUCUUCCUUUUAAGGCACUUACCGAACCCUCCUAUCUGGGGAGGGGGAAUGUCAGAUUCACACUCAUUUAAAUAAUUUGACAGCUCCUAAGAAGAAACUGAUGAACAUCACAUUCAAGUGUCAAAAAGAAAGACAGAGGAGAUGAGCACUGAAAAAUAAAAUAAAAUUUAAAUAAUCA